GACGAACGCUGGCGGCGUGCUUAACACAUGCAAGUCGAACGGAAAGGCCCUGCUUUUGUGGGGUGCUCGAGUGGCGAUCGGGUGAGUAACACGUGAGUAACCUGCCCUUGACUUUGGGAUAACUUCAGGAAACUGGGGCUAAUACCGGAUAGGAGCUCCUGCUGCAUGGUGGGGGUUGGAAAGUUUCGGCGGUUGGGGAUGGACUCGCGGCUUAUCAGCUUGUUGGUGGGGUAGUGGCUUACCAAGGCUUUGACGGGUAGCCGGCCUGAGAGGGUGACCGGCCACAUUGGGACUGAGAUACGGCCCAGACUCCUACGGGAGGCAGCAGUGGGGAAUAUUGCACAAUGGGCGGAAGCCUGAUGCAGCAACGCCGCGUGCGGGAUGACGGCCUUCGGGUUGUAAACCACUUUCGCCUGUGACGAAGCGUGAGUGACGGUAAUGGGUAAAGAAGCACCGGCUAACUACGUG
rnacentral:rRNA from 1 species